GGUGCAAGCGUUAUCGGAAUUACUGGGCGUAAAGCGUGCGCAGGCGGUUAGGUAAGACAGGUGUGAAAUCCCGGGCUCAACCUGGGCAGGUCAGUUAAGACUGUAUGACUCGAGUAUGGGAGAGGGUAGUGGAAUUUCCGGUGUAGCGGUGAAAUGCGUAGAGAUCGGAAGGAACACCGGUGGCGAAGGCGGCUACCUGGCCUAAUACUGACACUGAGGCACGAAAGCGUGGGGAGCAAACAGGAUUAGAUACCCUGGUAGUCCACACUGUAAACGAUGUCAACUAGUUGUUGGCCUUAUGAAUGAGGUUAGUGACGUAGCAAACGCGAUAAGUUGACCGCCUGGGGAGUACGGUCGCAAGAUUAAAACUCAAAGGAAUUGACGGGGACCCGCACAAGCGGUGGAUGAUGUGGUUUAAUUCGAUGCAACGCGAAAAACCUUACCUACCCUUGACAUGCCAGGAACUUACCAGAGAUGGUUUGGUGCUCGAAAGAGAGCCUGGACACAGGUGCUGCAUGGCUGUCGUCAGCUCGUGUCGUGAGAUGUUGGGUUAAGUCCCGCAACGAGCGCAACCCUUGUCAUUAGUUGCUACGCAAGAGCACUCUAAUGAGACCGCCGGUGACAAACCGGAGGAAGGUGGGGAUGACGUCAAGUCCUCAUGGCCCUUAUGGGUAGGGCUACACACGUCAUACAAUGGGCGGUACAGAGGGUUGCCAACCCGCGAGGGGGAGCUAAUCCCUUAAAACCGCUCGUAGUCCGGAUUGUAGUCUGCAACUCGACUGCAUGAAGUCGGAAUCGCUAGUAAUCGCGGAUCAGCUUGCCGCGGUGAUACGUUCCCGGG
rnacentral:rRNA from 1 species